rnacentral:ncRNA from 2 species
UUCACAUUUCAUAAAAAUAACAUUAAGAUAGUCCNGAGUAAAUGUAGGGAAUNCUAGUGAAANUCUAGAACAGUCCCCGCUACUGUAAUUACUGAGAUUUAAUAAUUACCAUUCCAUGAAAGCUGGGAGAAGGUGUUAAAUCGUUAAUAGGUAUAAGUCAGGAGACCUUAUUUACUAAAACAAUAA